UACGUAGGGGGCAAGCGUUGUCCGGAUUUAUUGGGCGUAAAGCGCUCGUAGGCGGCUUGGUAAGUCGGAUGUGAAAUCUCCAGGCUCAACCUGGAGGGGUCAUUCGAUACUGCCAUGACUAGAGGUCGGUAGGGGAGUGUGGAAUUCCUGGUGGAGCGGUGAAAUGCGCAGAUAUCAGGAGGAACACCCGUAGCGAAGGCGGCACUCUGGGCCGAUUCUGACACUGAGGAGCGAAAGCGUGGGGAGCGAACAGG
rnacentral:rRNA from 1 species